AGUAAUAUAUCGGAACGUGCCCGGUCGUGGGGAUACGUAGCGAAAGCUACGCUAAUACCGCAUACGAUCUAUGGAUGAAAGCGGGGGGAUCGCAAGACCUCGCGCGAUUGGAGCGGCCGAUAUCAGAUUAGGUAGUUGGUGAGGUAAAGGCUCACCAAGGCGACGAUCCGUAACUGGUCUGAGAGGAUGAUCAGUCACACUGGAACUGAGACACGGUCCAGACUCCUACGGGAGGCAGCAGUGAGGAAUAUUGGACAAUGGGCGCAAGCCUGAUCCAGCCAUGCCGCGUGCAGGAUGACGGUCCUAUGGAUUGUAAACUGCUUUUAUACAGGAAGAAACACUCCGACGUGUCGGAGCUUGACGGUACUGUAAGAAUAAGGAUCGGCUAACUCCGUG
rnacentral:rRNA from 1 species